rnacentral:lncRNA from 1 species
GAUAGCUAAUACUUUUGUGAGGAGUAAGGAGGGGAAGAUCUUGACUGCUAUUACAACAAUUAUUCAUAUCAACAAUGGCUUCCGCAGGUAUGAAUUCGUUUUAUUAAUUUAUUACGUGGUGAUUCUUGAUUCUUGGCAUGAUUACAAAUAAAUAUUAACAAUUGGUAUCAGAGCCUUCAUGUUAAGAUCGGAAUCCUUCAUAAAAAUAAUAUUCUAUCUCGAUUAUUUUAAACUUUGUUAAACACUAUAUCAAAAAAAAAAAAAAAAAAAAAAUUGGGAAAAGGGUCAACUUUCCACGAGUUCUGUGCAUCAAUGUGUGUUAUGAAUUCUGUGCAUAAAUGCAUUAUAUAUAUUAAUAUAUGAAAAGAAAUCAAACCAAGGUCAUAAAUCAAGUUUUCUCUCUUUCUCUCUCUUCUCUACGGCCGAACAAAAACAAAUUAUUUGAGGAGCAGAUCUAGGCUGCUCUGCUGCCAGCGAUAGUGGUGUUUUUCACUUGCCAAUUGAUUUGGGUUUUGACAUUACUAUCAAAGUUGACUAUCGGCUUUUCCUCUUUUUAUUUAUUUUUGUCGAUUUUUCCUUUUUUUUUUGAUGAAUUAAUUGGGAUGAGAAUUGAUGUUGUUGGAGGAGAAAUAAAUGGUGGAUUUAAGGUUUUAGUUCGGCCAUCCGUUGCAACGCCCGGUGUGGUCGGCGCCGUAGAAAAAGAAAUCUGGUCUUCUGCAAAACGAGCUACAUAUAUGGAGAAGGGGGCUUUCAAUGUAAAUAACAUACUUGUGAUACCCCACAUGCAAUUAGAGAAAAGGCCCUAUUUUGCAAAUAUUAAGAGAAGGACCUGUUAUGUAAUAAGUAUAAUUAGAAGGCCCGUGAUUAAUUUUAAAACUGGAGUCAAAGUGCAAUUUUUUGAAAGGGGUUUUAAAUUGGAUUUUUAAAGUUUCGAACCUAAACAAAAAUUUCAAUUUCGACCCAAAUUGAAAUUUUAUUUAAACUUGACCCGAUUAAAAUUAUAUGUUGAAUAAAUAAUAAAAUUAAUUGACGACUUUUAUACUAUUUCAUUAAAAU